rnacentral:rRNA from 1 species
GACGUAGGAUGCAAGCGUUGUCCGGAAUUAUUGGGCGUAAAGAGUUCGUAGGCGGUUAUCUAAGUCUGGUGUUAAAGCCCGAAGCUCAACUUCGGCAUGGCAUUGGAAACUGGAUGGCUAGAGUGUGGUAGAGGUCUCGGGAAUUCCUGGUGUAGCGGUGAAAUGCGUAGAUAUCAGGAGGAACACCGGUGGCGAAAGCGCGAGACUGGGCCAUAACUGACGCUGAGGAACGAAAGCUAGGGGAGCGAAAGGG